AUAAAAAUAUUAACUAAUUUUUAUUAAUAAAAAUUAAUAUAUAAUUUACAAGAUGAGCACAAUGUCUAAUGAUUGGCUUUGAGACAUAUUUUCCAACAACUCUCACUUGGACUAAAGCCAAUCGAUAUAAUAUCGUAUACCUAUUUUUAAUUUAUGAUCAUCGAACUCCUUGAUUUAGAGAGCUUUAGUAAAUGAGUCGGUCAAGUUCUUCCUCCUGUCGAUCUUUUGAAAGUCGACGUCAUCUCAAUUCAUGAUCUCCUGGAUAAGGUGAUAACAGCACAAAAUAUGUUUGGUGCGCUGAUGGGAUCUUGACUCCUUAGCUUGAGCAAUGGCUCCAUAUUGUCACAGUAUAAUAAGAUGGGACCAUCAACAAAGGGUGCCACUCUGAGCUCGUUGAUGAACUUC
rnacentral:lncRNA from 1 species